UAUAUAUAUUUAUAAAUGUUUACACAUGAAUGCUUGAUUUUCUUACAUUUUAAUAAUUUUAUUUCAUUUUAUUUUUUUUGUUUUAUCCAUUAUAGUAUACGGGACAGAUGGAAGUUAUAUGGCAGAUGAAAAUGAUGAGUUUUCAAACUUUCACAAAAACUUUGGUUUUAAUGAUGCGCAAAGAAUAUUCGAGAUGUUUUUUGGCGAUUCUACCCCCUUUGGGAAUGAUUCAUUUUUCAGUGAAGUCAUUGGCACAUCAUUCUCUGAUAGAAGAAGAGGUGGAAUGGGUAGAUCACAUGAUCCAUUUGAUAAUUUUUUUGGUUCGUCUUUUAAUAUCUCCUCUUUUGGUACAACAUCUUUUGACAAUUUUAUGGAUGACGGAACAUGCUUUACAUCCGUACAAACAUCAUCAUCUUCCAACGGAGGUAAAUAUAAAAACCGAGUUAUAAAAACCUCAACAUCUAAAACCACUUCAAUUAUAAAUGGAAAAAGAGUAACAAGGAUAGAGACUGUUAAAACAUUACCGAAUGGUACAGUUGAAAGAACAGUUACAGAAAGAGAAGAAGAUGGACGAGGAAAUAUGUAUGUUAAACAAUUACCUUCACAUGAGAUAAGAAGAAACAAAAGAUAAUUAACUAUAAGACGGAAUACGUAUAUAUAUAUAUAUAUAUAUAUAUAUAUAUAUAUAUAUAUAUAUAUUGGCUGUUAGAGUGUUAGAAAGAUAAAAGUAAACUGAUAUAUGAUGAGUAGAAGUAAACUAUUUAAAAUAUUGUGUAAAUUUAUUUUCAAAAAUGUAUAUUGUAAUAUGUAUUUAUACAUAUAUAUAUAGUUGAUGUUGUAUUCCUCUUUGAUAUAUUACAUAAUAAUAUAUACAUAGAUGCAUACGCACACACAUACGUAAAUAGAUGCAUACAAACCUACAUACAUACAUACACACAUACAUAAAUUCAUACAAACAUAAAUACUUACAUAUAUAUAUAUAUAUAUAUAUAUGAUUUAAAAUUUUAUUGUAAACUUUUUUUUUUAGAAACAAAAAAACACUUUUUAGCCGUUUUAAUUAACAUUUAAUUUUUUUUUUUUUUUUUAUUAUAUAAAUAUAUACACACACGUUAUACAUUUGUUCAUAUGUAUAUAUUUUAUUACAUGAAGUGAAAAUUAUAGUAUAGUAUAAUUUGAUUAUUGCAGGCUCAUAUUUUACUUUUUUUAAUUUUUUUCUCUUUUUUUUUUUAAAAAGUUUUUGUAAUAUCACCUUGUGAAAAGCUAAAAAUACAUACACCAAAACAAAAAUAUUUACAGACAUAUGAAUAUAUAUAUAUAUAGUAAAAAUGAUAAAAUAAAAAAAAAAUAUAUAUAAGAUUCUUUCA
rnacentral:lncRNA from 1 species